rnacentral:rRNA from 1 species
GCCUACGGGAGGCAGCAGGGGGAAUAUUGGACAAUGGGCGAAAGCCUGAUGCAGCUAUGCCGCGUGAGUGAUGAAGGCUUUCGGGUCGUAAAACUCUGUUGUUAGGGAAGAACAAGUACAAGAGUAACUGCUUGUACCUUAACGGUACCUAACCAGAAAGCCACGGCUAACUACGUGCCAGCAGCCGCGGUAAU